rnacentral:snoRNA from 1 species
GGAUCGAUGAUGACACCCUCACAUGCAUUCCUUGGAAAAUCCUGAACAAAAUGAGUGAGAAGCUCACUACCGUCCUCCUCAUCGAAACUGAGGUCC